GGCGAGAGACGAUAGCGAACAAUACCGUGAGGGAAAGAUGAAAAGAACUUUGAAAAGAGAGUUAAACAGUACGUGAAAUUGUUGAAAGGGAAACGAUUGAAGUCAGUCAUACUAACGGGAAAUCAACCUCUUGAGUUUGGUCUCGUGGGUUUCGAAGAGUUUUAAAAGCCUUCGGAUUUACGAGAUUGGGCUCUCCUGGUGUACUUUCUCGUACGGUUAGUCAACAUCGGUUUUGAAUGUCAUAAAAUGA
rnacentral:rRNA from 1 species